rnacentral:tRNA from 1 species
AAAUAAGAAGUAAAAUUUACAUUUAGUUUCGACCUAAAACCUUGGUGAAAAAUCACCCUUAUUUA